GAUGAACGCUGGCGGCGUGCUUAACACAUGCAAGUCGAACGAAGCAUUUUAACUUGAUUUCUUCGGACUGAUUGUUACUAUGACUGAGUGGCGGACGGGUGAGUAACGCGUGGGUAACCUGCCUCAUACAGGGGGAUAACAGUUAGAAAUGACUGCUAAUACCGCAUAAGCGCACGGUAUCGCAUGAUACAGUGUGAAAAACUCCGGUGGUAUGCGAUGGACCCGCGUCUGAUUAGCUAGUUGGUGGGGUAACGGCCUACCAAGGCGACGAUCAGUAGCCGACCUGAGAGGGUGACCGGCCACAUUGGGACUGAGACACGGCCCAAACUCCUACGGGAGGCAGCAGUGGGGAAUAUUGCACAAUGGGCGAAAGCCUGAUGCAGCGACGCCGCGUGAAUGAAGAAGUAUUUCGGUAUGUAAAGUUCUAUCAGCAGGGAAGAUAAUGACGGUACCUGACUAAGAAGCACCGGCUAAAUACGUGCCAGCAGCCGCGGUAACAC
rnacentral:rRNA from 1 species